rnacentral:lncRNA from 1 species
CGUUUAGUGUUGUCUCAAGUAAUGAUAUGCUAAAUUGCUGAUAAUAUACAGAACAAAUAAAAUUUGUGACUAAUCAAAGUUCAAGUUCCAUUAAUCUUUUUUUUUGUCGGGGAUUUAUUUAGAUAUUACAAUUAUGAGAAAGAUUACAAAGACGAUUCGAUAACCGACAAUACUACCUGCCUUAUGAGGAUCUACGCCUAACUGCAUCAUUUGAGCCGUCCUAUGAAGAUCAAGUCUGACUGGAUUUACUUGCACCAUGUUGAGAAACCCUUGUAAGUCUUUCUUCCGUAAUCGCAUAAUUGUUGAAUAAAUCGCUUGCUCCGAGAAUUGAAACCUGGAUUUCCUAUGCAAUCUGCAAGAAAUUGCAUAGUCUGAGAUUUGAACUCCAGACCUGGGUGUAGAAGACUUUAAACCAUAACCAUUAGACUACGGUGC